CAAGGUUUUGGAGACUUUGUGGCCCGUUUUCAAGCCCUUCCCGGCCUCCGUUGGUGUUGCCGUUUUGGGGUUUAUCGACCGCCUUGGCGUCGUGGUCGCCGUGAACUCACCGGCGCGCAAAACCGGUCCCUAGAUGACGGUCGUGGAGGACCGGAAGUCCUGGAGUUCGGAAGGUGGAGGCUGAAGAAUCGGCGAACGUGUCUGACAAGUUGGUCAUAGGACAGUUCCCUAGUUGUUGAGCCUGUCUAUUUUGUAGUCAAUCCAUUGUUGUAUAUAAACCUAUGUGUUUAUAAUGAAGCUUGUUUGGUUGUGA